GAUGAACGCUGGCGGCGUGCUUAACACAGGCAAGUCGAACGGGAAACAUUUUAUUGAAGCUUCGGCAGAUUUAGUUUGUUUCUAGUGGCGGACGGGUGAGUAACGCGUGGGUAACCUGCCUCACACUGGGGGAUAACAGUCAGAAAUGACUGCUAAUACCGCAUAAGCGCACGGGACCGCAUGGUUUUGUGUGAAAAACUCCGGUGGUGUGAGAUGGACCCGCGUUGGAUUAGCUAGUUGGCAGGGCAGCGGCCUACCAAGGCGACGAUCCAUAGCCGGCCUGAGAGGGUGAACGGCCACAUUGGGACUGAGACACGGCCCAG
rnacentral:rRNA from 1 species